rnacentral:tRNA from 1 species
AAUUUAUGAUUAUAAAGUAAUAUUUUUACAGUGAAAAUGUAAUGUUUUAUUUAAACUACAUAAAU